GGUGCCAGAUGGAAUUGGCUGUAAGAGAACAAAAGACAUGAAAACUUCAGGUUUCCAGAGCUGGUACCAGGUUGUUUCCUUCUCUUUAGUGAUAAGAUGGUUUGCCACCUUGAGGGCAAGACUAGGGUAUCUGCACUAGAACAACCUUAUUUUGAGCAGAAAAUUCACAUUCA